AAGUAAGAUCUUAGAAGUUUCAGACCAGGGCUAGAAGGAUUAGUUGCAUCCACUGCGACCAUUUGGGGUUCAUCUCCCAAAAUUAGUGCGAACUCUCUCAAAAAAGAUCGUUAAACUUACCAAAAGUAGUUGAUGCAAUACGAUCUGAAAUAAAUCGUAGCCAAAACUUUACUUGCUGAAGUUGUAUAGUGAGUGGUUCUCUAAGACUAACUGUAAUAAGGUGUACAACAGGUUGUUGAAAAAAUCUUUCACAUUCAAUGGUGCUCCUUGCAAUAGUAACUGAGACACAGCCUCAACACAGCCUCGUUUAACGGCACUGAUCAUUGCUCCACCAAGACCUUGAGAGGCUUCUGAUUCCUACAGAAAAACAAACAAACACAACUAUUCAAUACUAUAUUAUUUUAUGUACAUAUUAUGUAUGUAUUUUAUGUAUAUCGUGUUUUAUGAUCAAUUACAUUACAAUAUACAAUUA